rnacentral:rRNA from 1 species
UACAGAGGUCCCGAGCGUUGUUCGGAUUCACUGGGCGUAAAGGGUGCGUAGGUGGUGAGGAAAGUCGGAUGUGAAAUCUCCGAGCUCAACUCGGAAAUGGCAUUGGAAACUACCUUGCUCGAGGGUUGGAGGGGGACUGGAAUACUUGGUGUAGCAGUGAAAUGCGUAGAUAUCAAGUGGAACACCAGUGGCGAAGGCGAGUCCCUGGACAACUCCUGACACUGAGGCACGAAAGCUAGGGGAGCAAACAGG